CCUACGGGAGGCAGCAGUGAGGAAUAUUGGUCAAUGGCCGAGAGGCUGAACCAGCCAAGUCGCGUGAGGGAAGACGGCCCUACGGGUUGUAAACCUCUUUUGUCGGGGAGCAAAGCGUACCACGUGUGAUUCAUUGAGAGUACCCGAAGAAAAAGCAUCGGCUAACUCCGUCCCAGCAGCCGCGGUAAUACGGAGGAUGCGAGCGUUAUCCGGAUCUAUUGGGUGUAAAGGGUGCGCAGGCGGAGGUGCAAGUCAGCGGUGAAAUUGUGGGGCUCAACCCCGUACUGCCGUUGAAACUGCAAGCCGUGAGUGGACGAGAAGGAUGCGGAAUGCGAGGUGUAGCGGUGAAAUGCAUAGAUAUCACGAAGAACUCCGAUGGCGAAGGCAGCAUACCGGCGCGCAACUGACGCUCAUGCACGAAAGCGUGGGUAUCGAACAGGAUUAGAUACCCGAGUAGUC
rnacentral:rRNA from 1 species